rnacentral:rRNA from 1 species
UACGGGGGGGGCUAGCGUUGUUCGGAAUUACUGGGCGUAAAGGGCCCGUAGGCGGUCUAUUAAGUUGGAUGUGAAAACUCUGGGCUUAACCCAGAGCCUGCAUUCAAAACUGAUAGGCUGGAGUUCUGGAGGGGAUAGCGGAAUUCCUGGUGUAGCGGUGAAAUGCGUAGAUAUCAGGAGGAACACCGGUGGCGAAGGCGGCUAUCUGGACAGAAACUGACGCUGAGGCGCGAAAGCUAGGGGAGCAAACAGG